rnacentral:misc_RNA from 1 species
GAUGAAGAACGCAUCGAAAUGCGAUAAGUAAUGCGAAUUGCAGAAUCCGUGAGUCAUCGAAUCUUUGAACGCACAUUGCGCCCCUUGGUUAUUCCGAAGGGCAUGCCUGUUCGAGCGUCAUUAUCACCCCUCAAGCCCUGGAUUGGUGUUGGACUUUAGUUAUGGCUUUGCCUAUCAACUGGUCUCAAAGAUAGUGACGGCGCCCCAGAGGGAACCGGGUACGAGGAGCUUUUUACUAAGCAUGUAUCUGGGACGACUCUGAUGGGCGACGGUAUUGUUAUACUUUUUACCUAAGUGUUGACCUCGGAUCAGGUAGGAAUACCCGCUGAACUUAAGCAUAUCAAUAAGCGGAGGA